CACGUAGGGUGCGAGCGUUGUCCGGAAUUAUUGGGCGUAAAGAGCUCGUAGGCGGUGUGUCGCGUCGGCCGUGAAAACUUGGGGCUUAACUCUGAGCGUGCGGUCGAUACGGGCAUCACUUGAGUUCGGCAGGGGAGACUGGAAUUCCUGGUGUAGCGGUGAAAUGCGCAGAUAUCAGGAGGAACACCGGUGGCGAAGGCGGGUCUCUGGGCCAUUACUGACGCUGAGGAGCGAAAGCGUGGGGAGCGAACAGG
rnacentral:rRNA from 1 species